rnacentral:rRNA from 1 species
CACAGCUCGGUUUCUAUCUACAAUGAUCAAUCCCAACUUUUCUGAGUCCUAGUACGCAAGGAAUGGUCUCAGCGAUGCUCGACUAUAUUGGCCCCAUCGACGUAAUCAACUUCUGGCUGCUGCAAAGAAGGAAAACAAAAGGUUUAGGGAUUAACAAGGUGCCGCGAAAGUGGCGUACCUUUUCAUAUGCCAUGUGGGUGCAUAGCCCCUGGUAUAUU